rnacentral:rRNA from 1 species
GGAAUUUUCCGCAAUGGGCGAAAGCCUGACGGAGCAACGCCGCGUGAGGGAUGAAGGCCUCUGGGCUGUAAACCUCUUUUCUCAAGGAAGAAGAUCUGACGGUACUUGAGGAAUAAGCCACGGCUAAUUCCGUGCCAGCAGCCGCGGUAAUACGGGAGUGGCAAGCGUUAUCCGGAAUUAUUGGGCGUAAAGCGUCCGCAGGCGGUCUGUCAAGUCUGCUGUUAAAGCGUGGAGCUUAACUCCAUUUCGGCAGUGGAAACUGACAGACUAGAGUGUGGUAGGGGCAGAGGGAAUUCCCGGUGUAGCGGUGAAAUGCGUAGAUAUCGGGAAGAACACCAGUGGCGAAGGCGCCCUGCUGGGCCAUAACUGACGCUCAUGGACGAAGGCCAGGGGAGCGAAAGGGAUUAGAUACCCCAGUAGUC